UACGUAGGGGGCAAGCGUUAUCCGGAUUUACUGGGUGUAAAGGGAGCAUAGACGGCGAUGCAAGCCAGAUGUGAAAGCCCGGGGCUCAACCCCGGGACUGCAUUUGGAACUGUAUAGCUAGAGUGUCGGAGAGGCAGGCGGAAUUCCUAGUGUAGCGGUGAAAUGCGUAGAUAUUAGGAGGAACACCAGUGGCGAAGGCGGCCUGCUGGACGAUGACUGACGUUGAGGCUCGAAAGCGUGGGGAGCAAACAGG
rnacentral:rRNA from 1 species